rnacentral:rRNA from 1 species
AGAGUUUGAUCCUGGCUCAGAAUCAACGCUGGCGGCGUGCCUAACACAUGCAAGUCGAACGCGAAAGUCCCUUCGGGGGCUAGUAGAGUGGCGUCCGGGUGAGUAACACGUAGGUAAUCUACCUUCGGGUGGGGAAUAACUCGCCGAAAGGCGAGCUAAUACCGCAUAAUGCAGCGGCACCUAAUGGUGAUUAGUUGUUAAAGCGGGGGAUCGCAAGACCUCGCGCCUGAAGAGGAGCCUGCGGCCGAUUAGCUAGUUGGUGAGGUAACGGCUCACCAAGGCUGCGAUCGGUAGCUGGUCUGAGAGGACGGCCAGCCACACUGGCACUGACACACGGGCCAGACUCCUACGGGAGGCAGCAGUGGGGAAUUUUGGGCAAUGGGCGCAAGCCUGACCCAGCAACGCCGCGUGAGGGAGGAAAUCCUUCGGGAUGUAAACCUCGCAAGCAGGGGAAGAGCGCUUCUUUUCUAAUACAAGAGAAGUCCGACGGUACCCUGCGUAAGCCACGGCUAACUACGUGCCAGCAGCCGCGGUAAUACGUAGGUGGCAAGCGUUGUUCGGAAUUAUUGGGCGUAAAGGGCGCGUAGGCGGCUUGUUAAGUCGGCUGUGAAAGCCCGGGGCUCAACCCCGGAGGGUCGGCCGAUACUGGCGAGCUAGAGUACGGAAAAGGUAGCUGGAAUUCCUGGUGUAGCGGUGAAAUGCGUAGAUAUCACGAGGAACACCUGAGGCGAAGGCGGGCUACUAGGCCGAUACUGACGCUGAUGCGCGAAAGCCAGGGGAGCAAACGGGAUUAGAUACCCCGGUAGUCCUGGCCCUAAACGAUGGACACUUGGUGUGUCGGGUAUUAUGGUCCCGGCGUGCCGGAGCUAACGCGUUAAGUGUCCCGCCUGGGGAGUACGGUCGCAAGGCUGAACUCAAAGGAAUUGACGGGGACCCGCACAAGCGGUGGAGCAUGUGGUU